GGUUAAGCGACUAAGCGUACACGGUGGAUGCCCUGGCAGUCAGAGGCGAUGAAGGACGUGCUAAUCUGCGAUAAGCGUCGGUGAGGUGAUAUGAACCGUUAUAACCGGCGAUUUCCGAAUGGGGAAACCCAGUGUGUUUCGACACACUAUCAUUAACUGAAUCCAUAGGUUAAUGAGGCGAACCGGGGGAACUGAAACAUCUAAGUACCCCGAGGAAAAGAAAUCAACCGAGAUUCCCCCAGUAGCGGCGAGCGAACGGGGAGGAGCCCAGAGCCUGAAUCAGUGUGUGUGUUAGUGGAAGCGUCUGGAAAGGCGCGCGAUACAGGGUGACAGCCCCGUACACAAAAAUGCACAUAUUGUGAGCUCGAUGAGUAGGGCGGGACACGUGGUAUCCUGUCUGAAUAUGGGGGGACCAUCCUCCAAGGCUAAAUACUCCUGACUGACCGAUAGUGAACCAGUACCGUGAGGGAAAGGCGAAAAGAACCCCGGCGAGGGGAGUGAAAAAGAACCUGAAACCGUGUACGUACAAGCAGUGGGAGCCUCUUAAUGGGGUGACUGCGUACCUUUUGUAUAAUGGGUCAGCGACUUAUAUUCUGUAGCAAGGUUAACCGAAUAGGGGAGCCGAAGGGAAACCGAGUCUUAACUGGGCGUUAAGUUGCAGGGUAUAGACCCGAAACCCGGUGAUCUAGCCAUGGGCAGGUUGAAGGUUGGGUAACACUAACUGGAGGACCGAACCGACUAAUGUUGAAAA
rnacentral:rRNA from 1 species